CCCUGGGCACUCCAUUCCAACGCCCAAUGACCCUCUGCCAAGAAAUUCCUCCUACCAUCCAACCUAAACCUCCCCUGGUCCAGCUUAAGACCAUGACCUCUCAUAUUGUCCCUUGUCCCAUCUGGAAUGCUGAGGCACAGCAGAACGAUUUCUGUGGGCUUUUCCAAAGGACAGAAAGCAGAUACACAGAUAAAGAUCUCCUUCUGACUAAGCUUCCAGGAGCCAGGAUCUCACUUCUCCAUGUCAGAAGAGAUGAAACAGCCUGUAGUCAUCACAGGUGUCCUGCAGUGAAGAAGAGUAUCUGAAGGAAUAUGAUAUAUUGCUGCUCAGCUAUGCUAUCCCUGUGAAAAGGUUUACAGCCCUUUAUGCUGAUGUCCCUGUAGAUGAUCGGGUGACACUUGUCUCUGCCAGGCUCUCCACUGCACACAGCACACCCCAAAAGAAAUCCACCACUGCCAUAUAAUCUUCACUAGUUCUCUGCCCUGAAAUUAUUCCUUGGCUUUCUCCAGUAUUUUGAUGGUUUUUUUGUGCUAAGGUUGGACUAGAAAAUCCAACCAUUAGGCAGUAGCACAGGAAAAUAUUCCAUAUCUUUAAGUCAAUUAGAGAUGGAUUUUUUAAUGGUCUUUUUUCUUAGAGAUUAAUAUUGUAUAAUCUUUUCACCAGACCAAAUUGAUCCUAUUUUAUUUAAAAAACACAACAACUCAGACAAUGUUGUCAUCAUCUGGAAACUGGAAAUAUGCCUGCGUGAAUGAUUUGGCCAAAGGUCACCCUGACAGCAGCAUGUAGUCAUGUAGUGAAACCUGUGUCCCUUGAAGGUCCAGGAGAAUGCACUGUUCUGAAGUUUUAGAUUAGCUCAUGCUAUCUCACUUGAGGAUUUAUUGUCAUGCCUCACAGUCAGCAGUAGUGGCUCUAAUAUAUGUGAUGCUGGAUCAACUACCUGUCUGAGGAGCUAUAAAACUUCUGUUUGUUAUAAAAGAUAACUGCAAAGAUAGCACUAGCAAUACAGUGUGCACUUUAAUAUAUGCUAAGCCCACAAAAUCUUCCUGUUCAUCUCCUGCUAAAAAAAACCCAAUCAUUGAUUUCAAGGGAAGUACUGUAUCAGCAAAACUAAUAGGGUUUAGUCUAAAUUUAUCUGAUUCUAGAAUACUACAGAAUAAAGGACUUUCCUAAGGAAGUUAUUGUUUACACUAUGUGGCCACAUCCCUGUCAAGGUCAGUUACAUUGGUCAUGGCACUACCACUCGCUUCAGUGAGGGCCCAAAUUUCACCUAAGAAAAAAAAGAAACAAAUGGUUUAGAUCAUGGAGCCAUGAGAACAAAUAUCUGUUUGUGGCUGCCUAACUGCAUCACCUUAGUGACACCAUGUCCCUAUGGCUGAAGUAUAAAGCUUAUCUUCCUUUGUAUAUGCUCGCUAGUAUGCUGAUAAGAUAUUUAAUAUAGAUGAUUACUCUUGCCAUUAUAACAAUAUAGCAACAAAGAGGAAUAUUUUUGCCUAAAAUAAAAAUAGAAGGACACAUAAAACAUGAUAAUGAUGUGUGCUAGACCCGCUGACCUAUCUCUUCAAGCAAUGACUGUCCACGUCCUGCUGGCCAAAAGUCUCUGGAAUGUGUUAUGUUUUAUAGGUGAAAUAAAAAUAACCCAACCAACUGAACAGAAAUUACAACUAUUCACCAUCAGACAAAGAAACAGUACCCUUCAUUAUGUCCUGAUCUCAGCUGAAGUCAAUGUCUAGCAAAGAAAAUCUAGAGAAUGAUGACUAAAUUACUGGACAGUGCCCAGAUCAGCUGAUCUACAAAAGGCCUUCUAUGAGAUCAUGACAGGGGCAUGACAUGGAUCAUGACAAGCCAAAGGUAGAUCUAAUAAAUUGCAAGAAUGGUGACAUUAGAAAAAUACCUUUUGAGUCAGUACAUAAGCAAUACAAGUUUUAACAAAGACCAUAACUACUGCAAACUUUGACUCCAACUACUGUAUUUUAAUCCAGACCUGAGGGUCAAAUGUCCGUGUUUUAUGGAUCUCUGUCAAAUCUCUUAAUUUUUUCCUCCUUUGACUUUGCUGGUAUGUUUCUUGUGAACAGGCUCUUCUUGUGAUCCCUUAGUGGAAAGUCAGGCAUUGCCUUAAGUUCCCCCAGCUAGUGAUUAACUAUGACUGUUCUUCACUGAACCAUUUUUGCUAC